UACGAAGGGGGCUAGCGUUGCUCGGAAUCACUGGGCGUAAAGGGUGCGUAGGCGGGUCUUUAAGUCAGGGGUGAAAUCCUGGAGCUCAACUCCAGAACUGCCUUUGAUACUGAAGAUCUUGAGUUCGGGAGAGGUGAGUGGAACUGCGAGUGUAGAGGUGAAAUUCGUAGAUAUUCGCAAGAACACCAGUGGCGAAGGCGGCUCACUGGCCCGUACG
rnacentral:rRNA from 1 species